CUACGGCCAUAUCUCGUUGAAACACCGGUUCCCGUACAAUCACCGAAGCUAAGCAACGUCAAGCUCGGUCAGUACCUACAUGGGUGACCGCUUGGGAAUACCAGGUGCUGUAAG
rnacentral:rRNA from 1 species